GACGAACGCUGGCGGCGUGCUUAACACAUGCAAGUCGAACGGUGAACCCUUUUCGGAGGGGGAUCAGUGGCGAACGGGUGAGUAACACGUGGGCAACCUGCCCCAGACUUUGGGAUAACUCCGGGAAACCGGGGCUAAUACCGGAUAUGACUUCUGGCCGCAUGGUCGGUGGUGGAAAGUUUUUCGGUCUGGGAUGGGCCCGCGGCCUAUCAGCUUGUUGGUGGGGUGAUGGCCUACCAAGGCGACGACGGGUAGCCGGCCUGAGAGGGCGACCGGCCACACUGGGACUGAGACACGGCCCAGACUCCUACGGGAGGCAGCAGUGGGGAAUAUUGCGCAAUGGGCGAAAGCCUGACGCAGCGACGCCGCGUGGGGGAUGAAGGCCUUCGGGUUGUAAACCUCUUUCAGCAGGGACGAAGCUUUCGGGUGACUGUACCUGCAGAAGAAGCACCGGCUAACUACGUGCCAGCAGCCGCCGUAAAAC
rnacentral:rRNA from 1 species